UGCGACUACAAGCAGCGGAAGCGCUGCGUUACGUUGUCGUUACUCUGCCGGAAAACUGAGAAAAACUUGAGAGAAAGCAACACAAUGUAGACAACAAAUAGCUGCAGCUGCAAUGGAGGGCUCCCAUUUGGUUCUCACCCACAGACUCCAGUUCAGAUUGAUUGGGUCCUGUCUGCUCGGAGGCAACAAUGAUCCAUUGAGGUCUUUAGCAGGAAAAGCAGCAGAAUCAACUGCACAAGAGCAUCAGCUGGAGGCUCCAAACGAUGGCAAAGUGAAGUGCUGCUAAUUGCCUCUCAAGGUGUUCUUUGUUUUGUUUCUCUCGCAACCACAUCAUUUGUAGGACAUGCUCUCUACAAUCCGAGAAGAGCUACAUGAGCAUUAUCAUCCCUUUAUGAAACCCUGAAACUCACUAAAAGCAGAUAGUGUAUUUUUUUUUCUCUGUGAAGCUGAUAAGGCUAGAGGCUCUGUUUCUUGGUUAUUAAUUCUGCCUUUAAAGUUAAUAAAAUGCAUAAUAAAAACAAUUCAAUUUGGAGUCACCCUCUGUUUGUCAGUGAUUCCACACUUUAGCAGGUGUGUCUGCACCUCCAUGUCUCAACCGUUGUGUUGUUCACAACUCAUCUAAUGACUGCAGCAACAAACAGAUCUUCCUCCUAAAAA